CUGGUUUCCUCUUCCGGUUCUGCAGUCAAGUUUACCUCUGCUGCCUCAUAUGCUAUGUGCUCCAAACCGCGAGUAAAACUGCUGCCAUCCACGGGAGCUCCGUGAGAUCGGACGAUUUCCGCCGACCUGGCGAGGGUAAAUGGUGAAACUGCUCCUAGCUUGAUAACUCGGUCAGGUUUUUUGUUUUGUUUUUUUCCCCUGUGACAUCAGUAAAUGACGUCCCAUCCACAUCCCACCGUCCAGUGGAGAGCUGCCAGCUGGGUUUUCGUGUGAAGUUUCAGAGAUCCCGAGAUACCCAGCGUGAGCUGGGUGGCGAGCCGCAUCGAAACGACUGAUACUGAACUCAGAGUGGAGAAGGAUUCUUUCAUUCCCCCUUCCUCACGGACUGUGUGGUUGGACAGAACAAACAUACACUGAUACACUUGACACGGAGCCGAAGGAAAAGAAGGGCCCCAACAGUAACUUUGGGACACAAAGGGUUUUAUUUUGUUAUUAGUUAUUUUUCAUUGAAUGCCUUGCAACUAUCUGUAUUUUCAUUGUGUUAUUGGUUAUUAAUAACAAGUGGCCACACAAAAAACUCAAACCAUUGUCUGUGUCUUUUAACUUCACCAACAACAAGGGCUCUAAGUAGCUUAUAGUCUUCAAUUACUGGUCCAUGUCUUAGCAUUGACUAUUACUUACCUGUGCUGUUAUAACAUGGUAAUAAGGGUUACAUAAAGAACAAACGGAAACGUGUCUCCUGCCUUGAGUAAAGUGAACUGUGUGCCUUAAAGGUGACCUUGGUUGAAACUUACUUCCUGGGGUGAAAUCCCCCAGGUGGCGUUGUCGUUUGUGUUGGUCUUUCACAUAAAAUGCCAAUAAAAUAUAUUUAUGUUUGUGGCCGGAAUGUGACAAAAUGUGGAAAAGUUCAAGGUGUAUGAAUACUUUUUCAAGCCUCUGUAUCAGCAAAAAUCUGUCAGUAUUCAUGUGAUGUCAGUGGAUUUCACACCUUCGUUCUGGCCUCUUCUCUUCACAGAGAUGACCUGGCAGAGGUGCACCUGAAGCCAGAAAUCCCUCAAAACGCCUCCGUGUGUGUUGUUUGCUCUACUAAUAGUACAUUUCAAUCUAAAUAUGCCAACAACUCCAACAAGGCAGGUGAUGCUUCCAGCUGUCUUCACCAACUGCUUGUUGUCUGCACUCGUCCUUCUGAGCAACCAACUGUCUGUCCAGCUGUCACCAUUAUUUCAUGACCAUCUCACAGUCUGUCGCUACUUAAUACUGAACAUUUACUUAUUACAAUUAUCAUGUGAAGAGUAGCUAACAGUCUGAAAGAGAAAUAGAUUUUAAAAUGGGAAAAUUUAACUGUAUCAAGGUCUUAGUGUAUUAUUCAACAUAAUAUUAAAUGGCAAAGUUCAAUA